rnacentral:rRNA from 1 species
UACAGAGGUCUCGAGCGUUAGGCGGAAUCACUGGGCUUAAAGCGUGUGUAGGCGGAUCGGUAAGUACCUUGUGAAAUCCCACAGCUUAACUGUGGAACUGCUUGGUAUACUGCCAGUCUUGAGCCAGCUAGGGGCUACCGGAACAAAUGGUGGAGCGGUGAAAUGCGUAGAUAUCUGGAGGAACACCGGUGGCGAAGGCGGCAUCCUGGACCAACACUGACACUGAGGAGCGAAAGCCAGGGGAGCAAACGGG